GGGCCUGUAGCUCAACUGGGAGAGCGCUACAAUCGCACUGUAGAGGUCAAGGGUUCGAGAUCCCUUCAGGUCCA
rnacentral:tRNA from 1 species